UAGCUGAGAGGAGAGACAAAUCCAUCGUCCUGCCUUCAUUAAAAGAACAACCAACAGCUGGCCGUGGUCCGAGUCCUUCCUUCAUUCAGCACAACAUAGAACACAACGCAGAACGUAUAAGGGUUAACGGACAUGCAUCCAACCUGAUAGAAACUGUCAAAGACAAUGCGCGCCCGUUACACUCGCUAGAACUCUGCCAAGCCUGCCACCUCAGCCACACACCACCUGCAGCUCUCCACUGCCUUCCGACCAGCCAGCCCAGCCUUUUUGCCAUUUCUCUGCUGUACAAUAAAUACCCACCUUCACCCCCAUUCAGCCUCUGAAUCCAUACUUGGUCCACAGUAACCACACCAGACCACGUAACAGAAUAAUCUGGCCAGCAUGGACUAAUUGGAUUCUGAUACAAUCCAGCAAGCUCUGACUUCCCAAACACAACAAAUUGGACGUCACGAACAAACCCUGCAGGAGAUUAUGGACACCCUACGUGGACUCACAACCCAUGUCACCCAGCUUGGAACAAACUUGUCCCAGGUAUCCUCUCUGUUUACUUCCGCUGCUGCCUCCCCCUCGCCUGCUA